UGCACUUUGGUCACAAUAAAAAUUAAAAAAAAAUAAAAAAAGGAAGAGGAUGUACAGUAAAUGCACCCAAUAUACACCUCAACCCAGGCCCUUUGCCUGGUCUAUAUUGUGAAUUGGGGGACAAAA